UCAAAAUCUUGAUUUGUUGUCUUCAUCAUACUUCAAAUGUCGAAUACCAGAGGAUCAAUGAAUAAUCAAACUCAACAUAACUCAACAAUUCCUCCGCAAUCUUCAAUUCAAGAUCCACAAAUCGAACAACCGAUUUCCGCUGCUUCUGUAUCUGGCUCGGUGCCAUCCCUAACAACUGACUCAUUGUUAAACAAUACAAAAAGUGAUCUACAGCUGAGGAUGCAGGAAUGAAAUUUGUGGAUUUCAACUCUGCCUAUUUGACUUUUGUUCCUACAAAAUUUAUUGAUGAAUGAUGACAUGCUUCAGUGUUGUUUCCUAUUCAAGUGAUUGUAUCUUAACAUAACAUGGGGAGAGUCAAAUUUGGAUCCCCAGAUUAUCUACCAACUAUGCUAAUUAGUACGAACAAACUAGACUCCCUUAUACUU